AUUUAAGUAGCUUAAUUAAAGAGUGUAAUAUUGAAGAUAUUAAGGUAAAUUUUGUUUUUCUUGAAUA
rnacentral:tRNA from 1 species